GAUGAACGCUGGCGGCGUGCCUAAUACAUGCAAGUCGAGCGAAUGGAUUGAGAGCUUGCUCUUAUGAAGUAAGCGGCGGACGGGUGAGUAACACGUGGGUAACCUGCCCAUAAGACUGGGAUAACUCCGGGAAACUGGGGCUAAUACCGGAUAACAUUUUGAACCGCAUGGUUCGAAAUUGAAAGGCGGCUUCGGCUGUCACUUAUGGAUGGACCCGCGUCGCAUUAGCUAGUUGGUGAGGUAACGGCUCACCAAGGCAACGAUGCGUAGCCGACCUGAGAGGGUGAUCGGCCACACUGGGACUGAGACACGGCCCAGACUCCUACGGGAGGCAGCAGUAGGGAAUCUUCCGCAAUGGACGAAAGUCUGACGGAGCAACGCCGCGUGAGUGAUGAAGGCUUUCGGGUCGUAAAACUCUGUUGUUAGGGAAGAACAAGUGCUAGUUGAAUAAGCUGGCACCUUGACGGUACCUAACCAGAAAGCCACGGCUAACUACGUGCCAGCCGCCGCUGUAA
rnacentral:rRNA from 1 species